GACCUGAUGCGGCGGGGGCAGGCGUGCGAUGAGGGCAGUUGCCUGGUUUGCUCUGCCAUGCCUGAGCCUCUGGCAGGUGGGAAUGGGCUCUGCAAAGGCAGAGGGUGUGUUGAGCCUCUGGGAGACUGGAUAUGGUGGCUGUAGCUGGCAGUGAUGAAUUGCGUGAUGAGGGCAGUUGCCUGGUUUGCUCCACCAUGCCUGAACCUCUAGUGAGUAAGAAUGGGCUCUGCAGAGGGUGUGAUGAGCCUCUGGGAGACAGGAUAUGGUGGCUGUAGCUGACAGUGAUGAAUUGCAUGAUGAGGGCAGUUGCCUGGCUUGCUCCAUCAUAUGAGCCCCUCUGGCAGGGGAGAAUGGUUGAGAUUUGUCAGAAGUUGUCCUGGGACCUGCUGUGAUUUCAGUGUACUAGCAGAAAGCUGUCUUCUGCUAAUGAUGUCCCUCUCCAUGCUGCUGCCUGUGAUUCCUUGUCCAAGCUACAGCAUUCACAUCACCCUGCAACAGCUCUGGUCUUUUCUCAGAGCUAGCAGGAGUGAUGAAUUGGUGUCCUGCCAACUUACAGACAGAGGAUGUUAUAUUUUUCUUUCCUUUGUUAUGAGGCAUUUAACUGUAAUGGAUUCUGGAACUUGCUGCAUGUUUAAUUGGAUGCUUUUGUCUGCAAGGGCUGCACUUGCCACCUGACAGCUAAUGUAAUCCUACCACAAUUAUUAAAAGUAAGGAAGUCUCUCCUCAGAGAGCAGUUGUCAAGUAUGGGAGGAUGGCCUUCUGUGUAAGGAGGGGCAGGGGGAGUUUUGAAGUCUUGACUCUACCCUGGCAUCCAGAAAGCUUUAGUAACGUAUCAUUGGGAGCCUGUAAAGUGGGGAAGGGGCAUCUUGUGUGCUGCAGUGCUGUCUGCCUUUCUGUACUGUUCAGAGACUAUUUGUAAUAAAAUCUG